rnacentral:misc_RNA from 1 species
UUUCCGUAGGUGAACCUGCGGAAGGAUCAUUAUUGUAUAACCGAGGUGCGAGGGCUGUCGCUGACCCGAAAGGUCGUGCACGCCCGAGUGCCCUCACACAAAUCCAUCUCACCCCUAUGUGCACCACCGCGUGGGUCCCCCUUUGGCUUGUUCGGAGGGGGGCUUACGUUUUCACACGAACUUUGUAUGCAGUGUAGAAUGUAGUUUUUGUUUUUGCGAUCACGCAAUCAAUACAACUUUCAACAACGGAUCUCUUGGCUCUC